rnacentral:lncRNA from 1 species
UGUCCAAUUAGAAAAUUUUAUAGUAUCAUUUCGAAAAAAUAAUAAUUUUUUAAUUUCCUCUCAAUUUCUCUUCUCUCUUUUAUCCUAACCACUAAUCAAAAUUAAUGAAUGGUUAGAAAAUUAAGAAUAUAAGAACUGUUAUGCUCUUAAUUAAUAGCAUAGUAGCCCUACUUUAUAUAAUUUAAUUUCUCUUGAAUUUCUUUUCUCCUUCUAAUCCUAACCAACUAUUAAAAUUGAUGGAUGAUUAGAAAAUUAGGAGCAUAUAUAAGGACUGUUGUGCUUCUAAUAAUACAGUAAUCCUACUCUUAUAUAUAUAUAUAACUAGACUGGAAUACUAUCAAUAGCACCAAGCUAUUGAUACUAUUAGGUUUUCAGCCCUUGGAUAAAAAAAUGUACGGUUACGAUGAUGUGGGCUCUAUAGGGUUUAGUAAAUUAUUUGUUUUAUAGUUUAAUCUUACGGAUAAAAAUAGUCAAAUAAUUAAAUCAAACAACGGAAAACUGAAUAACACCAAGCGCUUGGUGCUAUUGAUAGUAUCCCAGCCGGACUCUCUCUCUCUCUCUCUCUCUCUCUCUCUCUCUCUCUCUCUCUCUCUCUCUCUAUAUAUAUAUAUAUAUAUAUANNNNNNNNNNNNNNNNNNNNNNNNNUUUUACAAGUAUCACCAUCAUAGUGCUAUUAGGUUUUAAGCCAUUGAAUCUACUUUUUAAUUAUUAAUAGCCCUUGGAUUAAACACUAUUCCACAUACCACCACCUACCAUCAUCAUCUCAACCUCACAUCUCUCCAUCCAAGGGCUAAAAACACACAAGUAUCACCCCCAUCUUUACGCCGUUAAACGAGAAAACGCCUUAUAUCGACCAUUAAAAUUACAAAUUUUAAACCCUUUGAUCAUUAGGCAAAUGAUGUCGAAAAAAUUUGAAAUUUGAUUUCUAAACACUUCAAGUGGUAUAGAUCAUGUUCAACGGUGUCGAUCGUCGAUUUGGAGGCUCCAUCAUCGAAAACAAAUGGGUGGCAAAAGUGUCGCUUUGCUAUCGAUAGCAUUCUAGCUCAACUCUAUAUAUAUAUAUAGUAAGUCUUGUGUGCUAUUAGGAGCACGGAGACCUUCGUACUCCUAAGCUGUUUUCGAUGAUGGAGUUUUCGAAUCGACAAUCAGUUCCGUUAAACUUGAUUUACCGUAUUUAAAGUAUCUAGAAAAUAAAUUUUGCGAUAUUUUGAUAUCAUUUAUCUAGCGAUCGAAAAUGUUCAAAAUCAACAGAUAAAAAUAAAAAUCUCACAAAAGAAGUGGUGAUAUAACACUAAAAUUUUCGAUCAGAAAUAUUAAUCUUGAAUGUUUUGUGCAUAGCAGGUAAAAGAUAUUCUUUGCUCAAUU